UCGAGGAUCUUCCGCAAUGGGCGAAAGCCUGACGGAGCGACACCGCGUGCAGGAUGAAGGCCUUCGGGUUGUAAACUGCUGUCACGCACUAGGAAUCCCCUGCGGUGAAUAGCCGCAGGGUUGACUAAAGCGAGAGGAAGCACCGGCUAACUCUGUGCCAGCAGCCGCGGUAAGACAGAGGGUGCAAACGUUGUUCGGAAUCACUGGGCAUAAAGCGCACGUAGGCCGUCCACUAAGUCGAAUGUGAAAUACCCCGGCUCAACCGGGGAACUGCAUCCGAUACUGGUGGACUCGAGGAUGGUUGGGGUGAGUGGAACUCCAGGUGGAGCGGUGAAAUGCGUAGAUAUCAGGAGGAACACCGGUGGCGAAAGCGGCUCACUGGACCGUAACUGACGCUGAGGUGCGAAAGCUAGGGGGCAAACGGGAUUAGAUACCCACGUAGUCCCUGAGCGGGCUGGCAAGGCGCAU
rnacentral:rRNA from 1 species